rnacentral:sRNA from 1 species
AUCAACUUUCGAUGGUAGGAUAGAGGCCUACCAUGGUGGUAACGGGUAACGGGGUGUUGGGGCACGACACCGGAGAGGGAGCCUGAGAAACGGCUACCACAUCCAAGGAUGGCAGCAGGCGCGCAAAUUACCCAAUCCCGACACGGGGAGGUAGUGACAAUAAAUAACAAUACGGGGUUCUUUCGGAUCUCGUAAUUGGAAUGAGUACAAUUUAGAUCUCUUAACGAGGAACAAUUGGAGGGCAAGUCUGGUGCCAGCAGCCGCGGUAAUUCCAGCUCCAAUAGCGUAUAUUAAAGUUGUUGCAGUUAAAAAGCUCGUAGUUGAAUUUCGGGGUCAGCAAGUUGGUCGUGCUACUGGUAUGCACUGGCUUUACUGAUUCCUCCUUCUUGAAGAACUGUAAUGCCAUUAAUUUGGUGUUGCAGGGAAACAGGACUGUUACUUUGAAAAAAUUAGAGUGUUUAAAGCAGGCUAACGCUUGAAUACAUUAGCAUGGAAUAAUGAAAUAGGACGUUUGACCCUAUUUUGUUGGUUUCUAGGAUCGACGUAAUGAUUAAUAGGGAUAGUUGGGGGCAUUAGUAUUCAAUUGUCAGAGGUGAAAUUCUUGGAUUUAUUGAAGACUAACUACUGCGAAAGCAUUUGCCAAGGAUGUUUUCAUUAAUCAAGAACGAAAGUUAGGGGAUCGAAGACGAUCAGAUACCGUCGUAGUCUUAACCAUAAACUAUGCCGACUAGGGAU